rnacentral:tRNA from 1 species
AUUUAUAUAGUUUAUAUAAAACAUUACAUUUUCAUUGUAAAAAUAAAAUAUAUUUUUUAUAAAUA